AGUUACUUGGAUAACUGCGGUAAUUCUGGAGCUAAUACAUGCGCAACAAUCCCGAACUUACGUGAGGGAUGCUUUUAUUAGAUCAAAACCAAUUUAAAAACUUGGUGACUCUGAAUAACAUUUGCAGAUCGCAUGGCUUUACGCCGGCGACGUAUCCUUCUAAGGUGUGCCCUAUCAACUGUCGACUGUGGCAUAGACGCCCACAGUGGUUUUGACGGGUAACGGGGAAUCAGGGUUCGAUUCCGGAGAGGGAGCCUGAGAAACGGCUACCACUUCUAAGGGAGGCAGCAGGCACGCAAAUUACCCAAUGGUCGAAGACCGAGGUAGUGACGAAAAAUAACGAAGCCGGACUCAUCCGAGGCCCGGUUAUCGGAAUGAGUACACUUUAAAUCCUUUAACGAGGAACAAUUGGAGGGCAAGUCUGGUGCCAGCAGCCGCGGUAAUUCCAGCUCCAAUAGCGUAUAUUAAAGUUGUUGCGGUCAAAAAGCUCGUAGUUGGAUUUCGGUGAGUAAGGAGGGGUUCAUCUUGUUUGAUGUAACUGCUGUCUUGUCUCGCGUUUAUUUCGGCAGAGGUUUCGAAGGUGCCUUUAAUAGGGUGUCCCGGGAUACUGUCGGGUUUACUUUGAAAAAAUUAGAGUGCUCAAAGCAGGCUUUUAAAAGCUUGAAUAUUCGUGCAUGGAAUAAUGAAAUAGGAAGUCGUUUCUAUUUUGUUGGUUUUCAGAAAUCGACUUAAUGAUUAAUAGGGACAGUCGGGGGCAUUAGUAUUCAGACGACAGAGGUGAAAUUCUUGGACCGUCUGAAGACUAACUACUGCGAAAGCAUUUGCCAAGAAUGUUUUCAUUAAUCAAGAACGAAAGUUAGAGGUUCGAAGGCGAUCAGAUACCGCCCUAGUUCUAACCAUAAACGAUGCCAGCUAGCGAUCCGCAGUUGUUUAUUUUUACGACUCUGCGGGAAGCUUCCGGGAAACCAAAGCUUUUGGGUUCCGGGGGAAGUAUGGUUGCAAAGCUGAAACUUAAAGGAAUUGACGGAAGGGCACCACCAGGAGUGGAGCCUGCGGCUUAAUUUGACUCAACACGGGAAAUCUCACCAGGCCCGGACACUGGAAGGAUUGACAGAUUGAGAGCUCUUUCUCGAUUCGGUGGGUGGUGGUGCAUGGCCGUUCUUAGUUGGUGGAGUGAUUUGUCUGGUUAAUUCCGAUAACGAACGAGACUCUGUCCUGCUAAAUAGUUUCAAUGUCAUUUUUUUUGCAUUGAAAAUUCUUCUUAGAGGGACUGGCGGCGUCUAGCCGCACGAGAUUGAGCAAUAACAGGUCUGUGAUGCCCUUAGAUGUUCUGGGCUGCACGCGCGCUACACUGAAGGGAUCAGCGUGUUCUUCCCUGACCGAGAGGUUCGGGUAACCCGUUGAACCCCCUUCGUGGUAGGGAUCGGGGCUUGCAAUUAUUCCCCGUGAACCAGGAAUUCCCAG
rnacentral:rRNA from 1 species